rnacentral:sRNA from 1 species
GCCAGGCAUGGUGGUGCAUGCCUGUAAUUCCAGUGGCUUGGGAGGCUGAGGCAGGAGGAUUGCGAGUUCAAAGCCAACCUCAGCAAAAGCAAGGCUGCUAAGCAACUCAGUGAGACCCUGACUCUA